GCCUUCUGUCUCCUCCCCUUCCUUUCCCUAACGGCAGCACACAAUCCGCUCACAGACACACACCAUCUCAGAGAGACACACACGAUUCAACACUACUGGAAAGCCGAAAGGCUGGGUACUGAAUAAAACAUUACGUCCUCUAACCAAGCAGCAGCAGAAGUGGGAGUGGCAGAUUUCCAGACCAGCAAGAUUUUCCUACGGGCCAAAAGCGACGUCAUUUAUUAAAAAAGCAGGAAGAGUGAAGAUCCCAGAACAGAUCCCUGAGGCACACCACUGAUCUCGACGUCCAUGCAGAAUGUGACCCGUCUACAAUGGAAAACCACUUCUAUGGGCAAUCCAGUUCUGGAUCCACAACGUAAGUCUCCUUGGAUCCCACGCCUCCUUACUGUCUCAAUAAUGCUUGCAUGGGUUACUUUAACAAAUGCCUUGCUGAAAUCCGUAUAACCUGCAUCUACUACUCUUCCUUCAUGAAUGGAAGUGAGCAAAUGAGGAAUAAGAAAUGUAUUGCGAUGAUAUUGGAGUUAAAUUUUUCACCAGCAAAUACUCUGCUGGAUUCGGAGGAACAGAUCUAUAGAGAGAUCGCACUGACAUGGACCUGGACCAUAUCCGUCUAUACACCUCUAAUCCAGGUACCUGUCCAAGUUUUCCUUAAAUGUUAAAA